AGGAGCCGAGGCCGCCCCGCUCGGCCCCACCCCUCGGAACAAGGCCCGCCCGCCGGCCGCAGCCCGGCUCCUGUUCUAGGCCUGCUUCUCGCGGGGCCUGCUCCUGGGAGGCGAAGCGCCACACUGAGGACGCGGAGGUGGUUUCAGACCGCAGCGCCGGGGCUCCUCCUCCCGCGCUACCCAGGGAGGCGGGCUGUGCUCUUUUCAAGGUCCCGCCAAAGGGCCCCGCCAUCGCGGAGGGAGACCUUCACAGCCUUCCCUCUUACACUAGGCCGGGAACCGCCAAACCGGAAGCUGCGGGGUCUCGGGGCCCCGGCUCGUUCUCGCCUAGCAGCAAGCCGCGGGUGCGCAUGCUCCGCGAAGGCCCGCACAGAGCCCGGGUGAACCCUGAUAGAGCCAUCACGAGGCGGGGUUAUUGCUGGAAUGGUGGUGGUUUGGGGAAGUCUUUUUUGGUGAGAUGGUGAAGUGGGAAGGUGCACCGCGUUUCCAGUGGGCUCCCACUUGGUGCUGGCUUGGCUUCUUGGAAAGAGAGUGAAAAGUCAGAGCCUCAGAGCUGCCACUGAACUCCACAGCCUUCACCUUGCCUCUUCCUGUUUGGAGGACCCAGAUCCAGUUAGCGCAGUCCUGCUUCCCAACUAGGAGCCCGUCCGCUGAGAGGAAGUCUUGUGAUUACAUUGGACCCUCCCAGAUACUCCAGGACAAUCUCCUCAUCUCAAGAUCCGUAACAUGAUCACAUCAGCCGAGUCCUUUGCCUGUGAGGUGAUGAAACUGAGACUCAGAGAGGACAAGUGAUCAUCCUAAGGUCACCCUUCCAGGAAGUGGCAGCAUCAGGACCAGGGCCCCAGCCUGAGUUUAAGUCACACACUUCUUCCUGCUGCCAAGAUUCUCAUCCACAGAAGAGAGAACAAGAGGUUUCCCUGCUGGGGGCUUCCCUGGUGGCGCCGUGGUUAAGAAUAUGCCUGCCAAUGCAGGGGACACGGGUUCAAGCCCUGGUCCAGGAAGAUCCCAUAUGCCACGGAGCAACUAAGCCCGUGCGCCACAACUACUGAGCCUGCACUGUAGAGCUCAUGAGCCACAACUACUGAAGCCCGUGCGCCCUAGAGCCUGUGCGCUGCAACUACUGAGUCCAUGUGCUGCAACUACUGAAGCCCGUGUGCUGCAACUACUGAGUCCAUGUGCUGCAACUACUGAAGCCCGUGUGCUGCAACUACUGAAGCCCGUGUGCCUAGAGCCUUUGCUCUGCAACAAGAGAAGCCACCGCAUUGAGAAGCCCGAGCACUGCAACGAAGAGUAUCCCCUGCUUGCCGCAACUAGAGAAAGCCCGCGCACGGACAUGGAGACCCAAUGCAGCCAAAAAAAAAAAAAAAAAAGAGGUUUCCUGCUAGAACUGGCAGCAGGAGGAUGAGGAAGAGAAGGAGGAGGAAGAAAGAGGAGGAAAAAAUACUCCAAAUUUCUUUAUCUGUUUCCAUUUUAUAUAAUUUACAGAUAUUCCUUCUUUAUCAUGGCCGACUAGACACAGGAUAUAUUUUCAGUCCUUCAAAAUGUGGUACUGAGAGCUAUAAAAUUUGGUUUCCUCAUCAAUAUAAAAUCUUCCCUGAUGGUCCAGUGGUUAAGACUCUGCUCUUCCACUGCAGGGGGCGCAGGUUCGAUCCCUGAUCUGGUUGGGGAACUUCCACAUGCCACAAGGUGCGGCCAAAAAAAAAAAAAAUUGAGUUAUUUCUUAUGUCUAUACCAUGCUUCCUAUGCACUUUGAAUCCUUUUCAAAAACUAUUAUUCAGUAUAACCCCCACGUUUUAUGUUCGCUUAAAAUGAGAUCCACUAGACUUUCACCAAGGAAGAGUUUAUGAGUGAAGCCCCAAAGGUCCACAGAAUUUUGCAACCUGCUUUUUAUAUUUAAUAUAUUUUAAACAUAAUUCCAGAUUAAUCAACAUAGAUUUACAUUAUUUUCUUUCUUUUUUGGUAAAAUAUUUUUUAAAAUUUCAAUAUAAGUAUACAUUAGCUACAGUGAAAUGCAAAGUUAUUCAGUUUGAUAAGAUUUUACAUAUGUAUCACUCAUUUAACCAUGACCCAGAUCAAGGUAUAGAACAUUUCUAACACUCCAGAAGGUUCCCUCAACUCUUUCCUAGUCGAUACCUCCCCAGCCCCAUAGGCAACUAUUCUGACCUCUAACAUUUUAGAUAGUUUUGCCUGUUUGGGAUUUGCAUCUAAAUGGAUUCACACAAUAUAUAUAUACUCUUCUGUG